CAAGCGGUGGAUGAUGUGGUUUAUUUCGAUGCAACGCGAAAAACCUUACCCACCUUUGACAUGGCAGGAACUUACCAGAGAUGGUUUGGUGCUCGAAAGAGAACCUGCACACAGGUGCUGCAUGGCUGUCGUCAGCUCGUGUCGUGAGAUGUUGGGUUAAGUCCCGCAACGAGCGCAACCCUUGCCAUUAGUUGCUACAUUCAGUUGAGCACUCUAAUGGGACUGCCGGUGACAAACCGGAGGAAGGUGGGGAUGACGUCAAGUCCUCAUGGCCCUUAUAGGUGGGGCUACACACGUCAUACAAUGGCUGGUACAAAGGGUUGCCAACCCGCGAGGGGGAGCUAAUCCCAUAAAGCCAGUCGUAGUCCGGAUCGCAGUCUGCAACUCGACUGCGUGAGGUCGGAAUCGCUAGUAAUCGUGGAUCAGAAUGUCACGGUGAAUACGUUCCCGGGUCUUGUACACACCGCCCGUCACACCAUGGGAGCGGGUCUCGCCAGAAGUAGGUAGCCUAACCGCAAGGAGGGCGCUUACCACGGCGGGGUUCGUGACUGGGGUGAAGUCGUAACAAGGUA
rnacentral:rRNA from 1 species